rnacentral:ncRNA from 1 species
CAAAAGGCCCUUCUCAGGGCCACCCACAUUGUCAUGAAAGGCUGC